CCUACGGGAGGCAGCAGUAGGGAAUAUUGGACAAUGGGGGAAACCCUGAUCCAGCAAUGCCGCGUGAGUGAAGAAGGCCUUCGGGUUGUAAAGCUCUUUCAUCAAUGAUGAUAAUGAUAUUAGUUGAAGAAGAAGCCCCGGCUAACUUCGUGCCAGCAGCCGCGGUAAU
rnacentral:rRNA from 1 species